GACGAACGCUGGCGGCGUGCUUAACACAUGCAAGUCGAGCGGUAAGGCUCUUUCGGGGGUACACGAGCGGCGAACGGGUGAGUAACACGUGGGUGACCUGCCCUCAGCUCUGGGAUAAGCCUGGGAAACCGGGUCUAAUACUGGAUAUGACUCCAUGACGCAUGUUGUGGGGUGGAAAGCCUUGUGCGGCUGAGGAUGGGCCCGCGGCCUAUCAGCUUGCUGGUGGGGNGAUGGCCUACCAAGGCGACGACGGGUAGCCGGCCUGAGAGGGCGACCGGCCACACUGGGACUGAGACACGGCCCAGACUCCUACGGGAGGCAGCAGUGGGGAAUCUUGCGCAAUGGGCGAAAGCCUGACGCAGCGACGCCGCGUGAGGGAUGACGGCCU
rnacentral:rRNA from 1 species